UCAGUAAAUUGCAGUGCGUAUGCUGGUUCAUAAGUCAUUUUGUUAACAUUUUUGUUUAUUUAUAAAUUUUAAUAAUAAUAAUUAUAAUAAAUUAUUGGUGUUGUAAAACUAAAAGUUUUGGUGUUAUGUUCUUUAAUUUUCAUUAAAAUAAAUUAAACGAAAAUUGUCUUCACGCAAUGUUAGAAACAAAUAUAAAAAAUGAUUUGACAGUUGGUCUAACGGGACUAACGGGACUCCUGUCGAUUAGGACACAAAGCCUAAUAGUGUCUCACGAAACUGCGCUACUUUAAGUUUGGAAAUUGGAAAACAGAAUUGAGAACGUGUUUUUGUUUGAUUUUUAAAAUAUUUGGCAUUAGUGUUUCACAUUAAAAAUAUAUUUAUUAUUGCCAAUAAAUAAUGACUCCGUUGGACCUCAAAUGCAUAAACAUAAAGCACGCAAUAAAAAUGGGGACAAUAAUCAAAAUAGUUUGUCUCAAGUCAAAGGCAUUGAUAUUUCAAUGAUGGAAUGCGAUUUUAAAUUUUAUUAUUGUUUCCUUACAAUUGUUGCAUUCGUCACCGUUUCAGCACUGAAGAAUCAAAAUUUGACUAUAAAGAAAAUGAAUUAAAAAUUACUUCUCUGCAGUUACAAUAACCCAGGAAUUCCACAAAAACACAAAUAAAGUAUUUUUGGAAAGACUAUGCCAAUUUUCGAUGUCAGGACAUUUCACAUGUCGAACCGCUGAAUGAUGUAAAAUCGAAGAUUUGUUAAUUGAAGAUGAUUUCUGGUGAAAAUUGACGAUUAAAAUGAUUACACUUAAAUUACUGCAAAUAUAACCAGAUUGUAGUUAUAAUUUAAAUAUUGAAGAUGAAGAUGACGGUUGUGAAUAACUCCAUGCUAAUUAUCAGUAGCAAGUUGAUGUGUAACAUAUGCUACUAACUUGUAUUUUAUAAUUAUUAAAAAUGAUGUAUAUAUCUCUGCAGACAAGCUGCUCUAUAUUGUUGUCAUAUGCUGAUGCUUUAAAGCAAUGUGUAACUUUGAUAUACAUUAUGAAACCAUACUAUGAUCAAAAAACAAAUACUGAAUUUAGUGCUACGAAUUUAUUUCUCCAUUAGUCUCAUCCGCCGUAAUAUUUAAACAUUCCAGUCUUAAAGAAUGUUUAUAUGUAUUCCUGUUUAAAAGAUAUUGUUAUCUACUCACCAAGCAAGAGAUAAGACACAUUAGUUUUUUGGAAUAAUUAUUAAACUCAGUAUAAAAAAAUGAUUGAAUGCAACAACAACAUGAUCUUCAAAACAACAACAAAAAAUUAAGCAAGUCAAUCAAAGCUAA